AUUGAACGCUGGCGGCAGGCCUAACACAUGCAAGUCGAACGAGUGGCGGACGGGUGAGUAAUGUCUGGGAAACUGCCUGAUGGAGGGGGAUAACUAAUGGAAACGGUAGCUAAUACCGCAUACCAUCGGAUGUGCCCAGAGGGGAUUAGCUAGUAGGUGGGGUAACGGCUCACCUAGGCGACGAUCCCUACCUGGUCUGAGAGGAUGACAAGCCACACGGGAACUGAGACACGGUCCAGACUACUACGGUAGGCAGCAGUGGGUAAUAUUGCACAAUGGGCGCAAGCCUGAUGCAGCCAUGCCGCGUGUGUGAAGAAGGCCUUCGGGUUGUAAAGCACUUUCAGCGGGGAGGCGUUACCCGCAGAAGAAGCACCGGCUAACUCCGUGCCAGCCGCCGCGGUAAUAC
rnacentral:rRNA from 1 species